CCUACGGGUGGCAGCAGUGAGGAAUAUUGGGCAAUGGACGAGAGUCUGAACCAGCCAAGUAGCGUGAAGGAUGACUGCCCUAUGGGUUGUAAACUUCUUUUAUAUGGGAAUAAAAUGUUCCACGUGUGGGAUUUUGUAUGUACCAUAUGAAUAAGGAUCGGCUAACUCCGUGCCAGCAGCCGCGGUAAUACGGAGGAUCCGAGCGUUAUCCGGAUUUAUUGGGUUUAAAGGGAGCGUAGGUGGAUUGUUAAGUCAGUUGGGAAAGUUUGCGGCUCAACCGUAAAAGUGCAGUUGAAACUGGCAGUCUUGAGUACAGUAGAGGUGGGCGGAAUUCGUGGUGUAGCGGUGAAAUGCUUAGAUAUCACGAAGAACUCCGAUAGCGAAGGCAGCUCACUGGACUGCAACUGACACUGAGGCUCGAAAGUGUGGGUAUCAAACAGGAUUAGAUACCCUGGUAGUC
rnacentral:rRNA from 1 species